rnacentral:misc_RNA from 1 species
UUUUAAUUUUAAUUUCCUAAUUUAUAUGAUUUUUUAUUUUUUGCUGUACAGAAUGUUUGUUGAUACGUGUAAGAGAAUUAGAUUGAUGAAGAGCACGGAGGCUAUAGGAUUAGCUCCAAGAACACCUGGGAGAUCGUCGAGUUGAAGCUAAAUAAAGAAGCUUAAUAACUGCAUGUACAGAUACCAACUGGCUUGAGUGAAUAAGUUUUUUUAUUUUUACCUUUUGCGUUCUUUAAUUAUAGGAUAAGUAAUAUAUAAUUAGGCAAUUACUUAGAAGUGUAUUUUGUGCUACGAUGCUUCCCGUGUGAGUGAAGACGAUUGAUUUUAUUAAUACUGUAUUUGUAUUUUUAUUUGUAUGUUUUUGUCGUUACGAUUGUAGAUCUCAAUAUGAAUAAAGCCACUUGGGGAAAAAAAAUCAAAUCCUUUUGUACGAUUUGUGAAAGGAGGGUGAAAAU